GAUGAACGCUGGCGGCGUGCCUAAUACAUGCAAGUCGAGCGAACGGACGAGAAGCUUGCUUUUCUGAUGUUAGCGGCGGACGGGUGAGUAACACGUGGAUAACCUACCUAUAAGACUGGGAUAACUUCGGGAAACCGGAGCUAAUACCGGAUAAUAUUUUGAACCGCAUGGUUCAAAAGUGAAAGACGGUCUUGCUGUCACUUAUAGAUGGAUCCGCGCUGCAUUAGCUAGUUGGUAAGGUAACGGCUUACCAAGGCAACGAUGCAUAGCCGACCUGAGAGGGUGAUCGGCCACACUGGAACUGAGACACGGUCCAGACUCCUACGGGAGGCAGAAGUAGGGAAUCUUCCGCAAUGGGCGAAAGCCUGACGGAGCAACUCCGCGUGAGUGAUGAAGGUCUUCGGAUCGUAAAACUCUGUUAUUAGGGAAGAACAUAUGUGUAAGUAACUGUGCACAUCUUGACGGUACCUAAUCAGAAAGCCACGGCUAACUACGUG
rnacentral:rRNA from 1 species